CAAAGAGGUAUUACAUCUCUUUAAGGGAAAGUGCCCUAUCAUAUUGUAAAAUUCUUUCAGUUAAUGAAUAUACCUGUUGACAAAUCUGAGUCCACUUUUCUAGUAUGUCAAUUGGCAUUACAGGUAGCCAUUUUGUCCCUUAUGUCCCCUUUUGACUUAGCAUUUCACCCUGUUGUUGGGGGGGCAGGAUUACUCUCUUCUGUGAUGACUUCCAGCUGAACCUGGGGCAUCAUCAGGGCCCAGGGAGUCUGAUAGGCUAGUCAAAGGAUGGGCAAUGGAGCAUUUACCAGAAGCAUCUUAUUAGCUGAUCCAGCUUAAGGGUCAUAGAACAGUCACAUUGGCUGAGUGGUUGACAUCAGCUUCCAGCAAGUCCAGAGCUCAGCAGUCUACAGUUACACAAAUGAUCCCCAGAUGGUGUCUGAUGACACAAUAUGGACUAGGAGAAAAAGAUAAAGUUUAGGAACUUAAAAGAAAAGCUUACAUUUGAAACUUUCAGGUCCACAGCUGUAACAUAACUAAUAAAAACUCAGAGACAGAUAUUGGGGUUCAAACUGAAGAUCAGAAAAGCAAAGCAACCCACAACUAGAGAGUUCUCACCUCUACCAAGGCCGGAUGGUCCUGUCCUCAGGUGACUGCAAACUGUACACUCUCCACUCCUGUCUCCACCCACCUUCUUCUAUUCUUCUCCAGUGCUGGGACUAAAGGUGUGCACACUGCCCAUCAUCUACAGCUGACUAGCGUGGCUUCUGGGACUAAAGGUGGCACACUGCCCAUCAUCUAUGGCUGACUAGUGUGGCUUCUGGGACUAAAGGUGUGCGUAAUGCCUGUAAGGACAUGCACCUGGAUGACCCCACCCCCAAUGACAGGCGGGGCAUGCAGAGGAAAACGUGCUACGUCAUCACCACGUCACCUGCCACGCAUCACGGCCUUCAUGAGGACUCUGUGCAUGCGUGAAACCUCAGUGCACAUGUGCAGUCUUUCCUUUAAAAGCCUGAGAUGCUGGGACUCUGUACACUUCCACUAGCCACUUUCCCAACUAAGCAUCUUUGGAACCCACUCAUCUGCCUGUUCGAUACAAUCGGUUCGGACCACUGGGUCCUUUUCUGUUUCAGGACAGCUGUGUCCCCUUCGGGACCAGGACCAUGGGCCGAUGGGUAUCCAGAGAGGAGCUUUUGCUGGUUUUUCCACUUGCCUCACCCAUGGGGAAUGCAUAAGAAAUCUUUCUGGUUGCAGCCAACAGGUGGGUAAACAGACAAAAAAAGUGGCUUAUGGUCACCAUUAUCUUGGCCAUGUGGUCUGACCUGGGGGCCACCAUCUUGGCCAUGUGACCUACCUGUAAGCAUGCCCUCUCCAGCAGCCUGUGCCUGCAAACCUGGCUGCCAGAUCUUUUUGUUUUUUAUUUAUUUAUUUUUGUCUGUGAUUUCUUCUUUCACGGCUCUGUUGCUCAUGGCUUGUUUACAGAAUACUGUGUCUUUCCAGGGCCCUAUGUUUAAGUCUACUCUGUCCCUUUAAAUCUCCUGUUGGUUUGCUACAAUGUAUAGAUAAGAGAUUACAUUCUGGUUCCCCCUUUUACUCUUAUCCAGUCCUGCUUGUCUCUGUACAUGUAAUUUAAAUUUAACUUUAUACUUAUCUAUAUAAUUCUAUAUGCAACUUAAACUGUUCUAAGUCUUAUAUUUCUAAAUUGCUAUGUAUCUUUAAAUGAUGGUAUACAUCUAAAGUCAUAAAGGUCUAAUUUAACUAAGUAUAUACAACUUAAAUUUAACUCAUGUAUCUUUAAAUGAUGAUAAAAAGUUUAAAAUCAUAAAGGUCUAUUUCAAAUUAACAAAAUAUUUAUACCAUUCAGUUGAUCCUGUAAGCAGUUUACAAAGGUACAGCUUUUUUAUUAGAAAAAGGGAUUUUUCUCUAACUAAAGGCAAAUUUUCAACUGCUGAGAUACUAAACAGACAGCCCUCAAAUGCUCAGAGAUCUAGAGAAUAUGGCAUUUAAAAUGUUUUGUUAAAAAGCUUUCUAUAACAGAGACAUAGGCCAGAUACUGGUGCCACCCCAUUUCUUCCAAGAAGACUGAUAGGCACUAAAGAAACUUCAUCUCGAGUCAGUGACAACACUGGUCACUGGGAAACCCUGCCCUUCACCUCAACUGCUACAAAAUACUCCAGACCGUGGACAAGAUGACAGUGGAAUCGACUUUCCCCAUGUUGCUUGGGCCAAUGGUGGUCGAGUCUUCCUAUAGUCUGGAAUCCACAGGUCACAUGCUAUAAGCAAGAAGGCAGGUGUCCUGCAGCCCGAUACUAUGGAUGGAGGACCUUGGGGAUGGCCGUUCAUACAGCCUGCUGGCAAGUCUCUGUUAUUCUUUAAUCAUUGAUUCAGGUAAAAUCUUAUCCUUCUCAAGAACUCUGAUGUUUUUGUCGACUGGUAGUCUUGCCAGCUUAAAGCAAAACAGAUUCCAGGAACAGGUAUUUUAGGGUUUAUCUAUGUGAAGAUAGGAAAGUGUAAGUUACGAAGGUGUGAGGAUGGAAAGGUCUAACACGGUGAAUAAAUGCAAGUUAUGAAGGUCUGAGAAUGGAAGGUAUAAAGGUCUGAGAAUGGAAGGUCUAAGAUGAUAAUGUAAAGUGUAUGAAUUAAAGUUAUGAAGGUCUGAGGAUAAAAAAGCUUAAGUGAUGAUAAAGUGAGUUGAGACAUUAAAAAGAAUGAAAUAUGUUCCGAUAUCUCUAUUUCUCAUGCUACUGUUCAUAGUAAAGUUCUACAAUGCCACUAUAGGAUCAUAACUACAAGGUCAAGACUAAGAUUUUCAUUGUCCUGAAAAUAUCUGUCAAUUUUAAAAUGUUAAUGCUUUCAGCCAAGUUGCUUCUAACAAAAUAUGCUGCUAAUGUGUCUAAUACUUAUGUUUCCACAAUCUCUAAGGAUUCUUAUAAGUUCCAGGGAGCUGAAUUGGAUCCAAACAAACAGGUCUAAGAGGUGCCAGAGAGUUCUAUACAGCCUGGACUGCGAUGAAACAAUCAGCUACCCCAAGACGUGGCAGCACCCCAACCUUCUCAGGUCCCCCAAAGAUGGUCAACGUCCCCCACAUCAGCAGGAAGCAGUCUUGAGAAUUCGACACCCUUAUUCCUUAAUCUGCCAUGUCUAACACCCCACCUUUUUUUUUUUUUAAAUAAUAAGUAAAGGUGGGAUUGAAAGGUUCAGGCAUUAUGCUGGCCUGCCCCUGUUACCUGGCGGAAGAGGCAGUACCCUGGUCAGCCCAGGGUUCCAUGGGAACUAAGUCUGCAUGCAGGUGCAGAGGACCCCUGUAAAAGACAGAUCCCUGCCCAUUUACACUCUCUCUACUCUUCUCUGUCUGCUUCUGCUUCUCUUCCCUCUGCUUCUCUAUGGCGACUGGCCAUGGCAGUCAGCCAUUAACCCUGUUUCUCUUCUCUCUUACUCUACUGUUUCCCUACUCUGCCGGGCCUGUAAUAAACUGGUUAAUAUGUCUCAUCUUGUGCCUUCCUUCUCUUCUUUGUUUCUAAUUUAAACAAAAAUUUAACACUGCUCAUCGUCUAUGGCUAACUAGUGUGGCUUCUGGGACUAAAGGUGUGGCCACCACUGCCAGUCUUGCCUAUCUGACUAGUGUGGCUAGCUUUGUACUCUGAUCUUCAGGCACGCUUUACUUAUGAGAUUAUAAACAAAAUAUCACCACACAUAGUAACUGGGGAAAGGUGGAGUCUCAAGACCAGGAGAGAGACAACAUCCUUCGGAAUAGCAAGGUGGAGAAACUUAGGCUGUACUUAUCUGGAGUACAUUUGAACUAUAAAAGGUCGAUCCAAAUCUUAUGACUUCCCUGACUCCCUGAAGCUUACAUGAAUUUUGGUUUACGAAAGGAGGUAAAUUUUCUAGAUAUAUUAGCAUUAAUCUGUACUGAAAUCCACAUUGUAGAAAUAGCAGCUAACAGUGUCUGUAAAACAACUGGAAGAGAUUUACACCUUGGAGUCAUAGCAAAAGCUAUGACUGUGAGUUAAAAAGCAUGAACAUUUAUUUUUCUGUUCAGAGAGCUAGGUAUAUAGAUUAAACAGAGAUGUGUUUAGUCUAAUAAAAAGCAUCUUUAAGUCUGUAUUUAGAAGACAACCGAAGGAAAUUUAAAAUCUUGAGCUUGUGACUGAUAAUAGCAAUCUGUGUUCUACUAGCUUACAGAGCUCCACAGAUCAAUGCUAAAACUCUGAACUUCCGAGGUCUUAAGAUACAAUAGCAUAGAGAAGAAGAAAUAUAUGAAAUAUUUCUCAUGUACCUUCUAUGCUUACAAAUUGCAGCCACACACUCCAAAACAUCUUCUUACACCUUCACAAUGCAAGCUUCGUGUCCUCAGAGCUCUGCAACUUGUGCCUACACACCUUAAGUCACUUUCUUUUUUUUUCCUUUUCUCUCUUUUUUUUUUUUCCCCCCCGAGACAGGGUUUCCCUGUGGCUUUGGAGGCUGUCCUGGAACUAGCUCUUGUAGACCAGGCUGGUCUCGACCUCACAGAGAUCCUCUGCCUCUGCCUCCCGAGUGCUGGGACUAAAGGCAUGUGCCACCAACGCCUGGCCUUAAGUCACUUUCUUAUCACUAAGUAACUUUCACAUACUCAGACCUUUAUAACUGGCAUUUACACAACUUUUUCUUUUCUUUUCUUUUCUCUCCUUUCUUUCUUUCUUCUUUUUGUUUUUUGUUUUUCAAGACAGGGUUUCUCUGUGUAGAUUUGGAGCCUAUCCUGGCACUUGCUCUGGGGACCAGGCUGGCCUUGAACUCACAAAGAUCAUCUGCCUCUGCCUCGAAAGUGCUGGGAUUAAAGGCAUGUGCUACCAACUCCUGGCCUCACACACCUUUUUCUACCCAAUCAUUCACCAUGAGACACAGGUGGUUGAUCACAUUAAAGUGAGUUUUUUUUUUAAAUGAAAUAGUAAUUAAGUUACAUUAAAAUCUGUUCUGUGAGUUUGUCUCUGUUUUUGGAGUCUGGUACCAAGGUUAACUGUGUCUAUAUCUAGUUGCAGCACUAGGAAAGUGAGGCCUGGGGCCUGAUUUAUCCAUAUGAGGAGAACUGAGAAGGCAGCUGAAGCAUUGGUUGCUGCUGUUAAACUGGCAAAAUUAUGAGUAGCUUAAUCUUUAAACACCGUCAGAGAGCUUAGAAGGAAAGAUUUCACUCCGAGUGUGCAGAAGUGCAGAACAAGCAGCUUCUGGAUCUGUUAAAACUGGCAGAGACUUAC
rnacentral:lncRNA from 1 species